GUUUGCGGGCAACGUGCUUCUUUAAAUCGGCCUGUAACCGUAUAGUAAAUGUAUUAUAUUUUUUGCAAGCUCUUGUGGGGCCGCAAGAAGUGAAGUCACUGGCCGGAUUUGGCCCCCGGGC